AGCCUUUUCCAGUUCAGAGGCAUGAUGAUUGGGUGUCCACACAUUUGUGUGACAUGUGCCUCCUUUAAAUUCUGUUACUUAUAUGCAUACUACUCAUCCGAAG